GCAGUUCAAGGAUGUCAGUAGGUUGUGCAGAUGGUUCUGGAGCUUGGCAGAGAGCUCCGGGCAUGGCCAAAGCUCUAGGAACGUCCGCCACCCGAAGGGCUGCUGCCUCUGUGGUGUGGUGAGGCUGAUCCCAGAAGGCAGACGGAGAGAAGUGGUGGGCCAAGGAGGAACCCUGCAGACCAGCACCAGUGAAGGCUCAGGCAGAGGAGAGAGAGCCCACGAGGAGACAGGGCCCUAGGGACCCUGGGAAGUCCAGCCAAGCACAUCUGUGUUGCAGUCCCUGGGAUGAGCACAUUCAUUGAAGGCCAGAGGGAUCCCUGCUGUCGGAACCACAGCAAGCCAGAGAGGCCAAGGUUAUGAGGUGCGAGUGGUGCAGGAUUUUCAAUGUGCCCACACAUCUGAGUUCUCCAUCUGGGGCAGCUGAAGUUAGGGAAAAGAGAGGAAUCUCAUCAUGUCCCAAAAUGGUUCUUUAAGGCACCAGGUGUAGGCGUUCACAGGUGUCUGUGCCAUUUUUAAAGGCUGCAUUGGAAAAAUUCCAGGAUUAGUUUGUGUCAUCCUGUUUCUGUCAGUGGAAAGAGAUCUGAAAGACCUCUGAUUCCUAAUGGAAUCAUCAGGGCAAGUGCACCAAGGGCAAGAUUUCAAGUGGCUUUUAGUUGCUAAGACUAAAACUAAUGUCUACUUGAUGUGACUGGAUUUAGGCCAAAGGUAGAAGUUAGGACAGACUAUUUCCCAACAGCCAUUCAAAAUCAUAGAUGGUUAAUCAUGACUCCAAG
rnacentral:lncRNA from 1 species